ACUAGAAAAACACUCUCUUAGUUAAAUUCCCCCAACACAGACACAACAUCACAAAACACAAAAACACAGACACUUACCUGGUACAACAUUUCAUUUCCCACGGAUGGGAUUCAGUCAGAGCAACAGCCGUGCAGACGAAUCCCAGAUGGUCAACCUUUGAGAGAAGAAGACAUGAGAGAAAUUGGAUUUCCAAAUUAGACACCCUCCAUCCUAGAGGCCUGAAUGAGAAAAAAAAAACAAAAAAAAAAAACACCAUUAUUCUAAUUAGAGACACUUAACCGCUCUUCCCCAUUUCGGCCAGCAGAGGGAGUUGCUAAACAGUCCCUCUCCAUCACCAGAUUUUUUCACCCCCUGUAAAUUAUUUUUCCAGAAUCUAUUCUCAUAUGGCCUUGCCCCAAAGAUUUUUAAUCCUAAUCCUAACCAAAUUGAACCUGAGAGCCCUAAACCUAAUUAGAUUGUGAUUGAAUAAAAUAAUUGAUUUCAUAUUACCCAGAGGGGAGAGCGAGAUCUGCGUGGGGACAGAAAUGGUCCGUGCACGAGGGCUCCGGGCGUAUAGCUUGGAACCCUCACCCCAACCCUAACACCUAACCCUAACCCUAACCCUAACCCUAACCCAUCUCCAUAUAGCCCUGCCCAAAGAUUUCUGCCCCUAAACCUAACCGUCUCUGACUGGAAGGCCCUAAGCCUAAUCAGAUUGUGAGAAUUAGAUUCAACACAAAAAAUACUAAAUUUUAAAUAUUCUAUAUGGUCUGGAGAGGAGGGCGAGAUCUGAGUGGAGACAGAAAUGGUCUGUACAUAUGGGGGUUCCAGGUUUACAGCGUGGAGCUCUCGCCCCAACCCUAACACCUAACUCGUCUGAACCUUCUGCUUCUCCGCAGGGUCUCUGUCUCUCUUCUCUCCCCCCAAAUCACUUCUUUCUAUUUUUUAAAAAUUGAAUAUUGCCAUGUUCUUUAUUUUCAUGACUGCAAUUUAAAACUAACAUCUAUCACAUCUUUUUCUUUUAAAGGGAUUACUCUCACCUUUGCCACUGCAGCCUUAAUUAUAUUGGAUAAAAAACAAUACUCUAGUUCAUUUUUUGGUUAUCACUGUUACAUUAAGAACAAUAUACAAUAAAUGCAUAGUUGAAUGUUUUUUUACACAGAACACAGUGAUUGAUCCUGUGCAGAAUUUCCAUAGCGUUGUAAUUUAUUAUAUUCACUUACUAUUUUUUUUGCAUUCAAUUCUUGAAAAUGUAAUGUUUAAAUAUAUUGUUCAUUUAUUUACAAUACUCUUUAAAAUGUUGAGAUUUUUUUAUAUAAAAAAAGUUUAAUUUUAUGUGAAAUUACAAAUGUUCGUAUGCAUUUGAAUGCAACGCUCCGAGCCUUCAUGACCCAGCGACCUGUGAAGGAAACAUUCUGCCCAGCAACGCCUCCGGAUUGGAUGAGCAGCCCAGGUGCAGGAUGGGACAUGGUCCGCCAUCUUACAAACAGUUGCUUCCAACACUGUGAGGAAGCGCACGCUCGGAGCUGUUCUUCGUGUGUAUGCCUACUUACAUGUUUAUUGUUGAUAAGCCAGCCUGAAGAAAAUUUAUUUUGAUCGAAACGUUGCAACCUUGGCUUGUAUUAUUUUUUUAUUAAACCGAAGUUGAUCGGUAAAUCACGUUUCCUAGUUUAUUAUUAGCAUAGCCUCCCAGUAUUAGCAUAGCUUCUUAGCCACGUGUGACGGAGGUACCUUCUGCAACGGGCCGAACUAAACCAGGACCACAGUAAGCCAUGCCACCGCGCCCACACGACGACGGAUGGAUACUGGUGCAGUCCAGAGGAGGCAGACGGAGGGAACGGGCCUAUGAACGCGACAGGCCACAGAACAGACGUGCAGCUGCAGAUUUUCCCAGCUACCCACGCCGAGACGGACGCCGAUCCUAUGCGGACGUCACCAGAGAGGGAGCCCAUUUUCUGGAGCCGACCUUCUACGGCAGACAGCAGGUGAGACAUCGCCCUGCACCGCAGCCGUUCUAUAGCGGGCCGCGCUACCCAUUUCAAGAUGGCGCUCGGCGUGCGCCAAGACCUAGGCCACGCGGUCCCUCCAACCAAAAUGGCAACUACGUCUUUGUACCAGCAGGUGCUCGGAAUGAAGCCCCCCCCACAGGGUACAGUCUAAUGACCCUGAUUUUACAGAGAAGGUGCGUGUAAUGAACAGACUGAUUAAAGCUGUACACCACCUCACCAAUGUGUCCAGAGAGGCUCAUCCUCCCUCCCUGGACAAAAUAACAAACAAUCUAGCUACAAUUAUCAAACCAGCAUCCCCAAAUCUACAAACACAGACUUUGAUUGACGGCAAUGCUAGAAAUUGGGCCUUCACUACCGUUCUCAUCCUCAGAGAGCAUUAUCAAAAGAACAUUGACUCUGAAAUGCAAAAGCUCACCCAGUUUCCUUCACCGGACUGGAGAGGCCCCUUUGAAAUAGCCACAACGUGGGCGAAACGUAAUUUAGGCAGACGCCUGAGACAGGAUACAAUAGACCGUGCCCAGGCGGUCAUCAUUGCCAGGACGACAGAAACAGCACCUCCUGCUCCUCUUCCUGCUGCUGCCGUUUCUUCUCUCCCAACGCAGACAGCUGACCAGACAGAAGAGGAGGACCCACAUGCUGUGAUUGAGCUGGCUCCAUCAUCACCUCCAGUGAACCAGCCUCCCUCCACGAGACCACAGAGCCCAGCUGCAGCACGGCCACCCCCUUCACCACAAAGCAGCAGUCAGCAGAUCACCACCAUCGCCCAAAUCCACGCAGCGCCUCCACCUGCGCCAAUCUCCCGGGUUUCAGUGGAGACCAUGACAGAACCACAACAGGAGGACUGGUCACCUCUGUUUGACCUGGAGGAGGCAAGUGAAACAGAACUUUCUCCUCCGACAUCCCCAUCUCGUCUUUCUCCUGUAAUCCCUCUUCCACCACGCAUAAAUCGCUCUCAAAUAAGCUCUACGGCAGAAAGUGUCGUACGAGUUCUCGACAUGCAGAAGGCUGACUCUGAAGCCGAAGAGGAAAUCACUCUGGAGCCAGAACCAGCAGAUGAGCAGAUCACAGCGCUGAGCCAGAGAAAAGGAAGCCAACGCUCCCCCCACAGAGAAGGGAGUCCUCCUCCUCCUCCCAUCCAAACCAGCACCAUGGAGAGCAGAGGGUACCACACACUCACCCCUGCCACUCUCUCCAAGCUGAGAUCCAGCGUGCAAUCUCGCCUAGCCAUCGAGCGAGCAGAGCAGACGACAACUUCUGCAGCAGAAAUGCAGGUGUGUGCUCCAACACGACACGACAACACGCCCCGCAAAUUUACAGAGUGGCACCUGCACAUACAACAGAAGAAGGUCAUCAUAGGAGACUCAAACAUCAGCCGCCUUCCACCUUUUAAAGGUGGAAAUGUACAAUUGGACAGUUUUCCUGGCGCCAGAUGGCAUCAUGCAGAAUUUCUCCUGAAGACGGCCACCUUCCAGACGGAACCAGAGGUUCUCCUGCUAUCCUUCGGCCUCAACAACAGAUCCCAGAGGGAUAAAAAAGCUCCAGUGAAAGAGAUGAUCAAAGCCCUGACUGUAGCAGGACAGAGAUUCCCAGACGCCACGAUCUUCGUCCCUCACGUCAGUUUUUCACCUCACCUUUCACCAGAUGAAAAAGCCGUCCUUAUCCAUUUAAAUCAACACAUCCAAGAACUGACAGACUACAUCCCCCCACUCAGUGGCUUCUUUGAGACCCAAACUGACAGCAUCCACUGGACGGCAGCUACCGCGAAGAGGAUUCUGGAACACUGGGCUUCGUGGUUAAACUGAAGCUCCCUUUAAGCCUCUCACAGAGGGAGGGGAAAGAUGGAGUCAUGAAUCUAUGUGAUAACUUUGUUCUUUCUCUCACACAGCUUUCCCUGCUGAGCAGAGGUCUUACUUUCAUCCCUUCCAAAUGUAACAGUACCUCGACGACAUCUGGGGCGUUUGGACGCACUCUGAGCAGGAGUUUGGAACCUUCCUGGGGACUCUCAACAGCCACAACCCUUCCAUCAAACUCAAAUCAACAUGCCACGCCUCUUCAGUCGA